UACGUAGGGGGCUAGCGUUGUUCGGAAUCACUGGGCGUAAAGCGCACGCAGGCGGCUUCUUAAGUCAGGGGUGAAAUCCUGGAGCUCAACUCCAGAACUGCCUUUGAUACUGGCGAUCUCGAGUCCGGGAGAGGUGAGUGGAACUGCGAGUGUAGAGGUGAAAUUCGUAGAUAUUCGCAAGAACACCAGUGGCGAAGGCGGCUCACUGGCCCGGUACUGACGCUGAGGUGCGAAAGCGUGGGGAGCAAACAGG
rnacentral:rRNA from 1 species